rnacentral:rRNA from 1 species
UACGGAGGGGGCAAGCGUUGUUCGGAAUUAUUGGGCGUAAAGAGUAUGUAGGCGGCUAGAUAAGUCAGACGUGUAAGCCCAUGGCUCAACCAUGGUAUUGCGUUUGAAACUAUUUAGCUUGAGUGCAGGAGAGGAAAGCGGAAUUCCCAGUGUAGCGGUGAAAUGCAUUGAUAUUGGGAAGAACACCGGUGGCGAAGGCGGCUCACUGGGUCUCUUCUGACGCUGAGGCACGAAAGCUAGGGUAGCGAACGGG